GAUGAACGCUGGCGGCGUGCCUAAUACAUGCAAGUCGAGCGAACAGACGAGGAGCUUGCUCCUCUGACGUUAGCGGCGGACGGGUGAGUAACACGUGGAUAACCUACCUAUAAGACUGGGAUAACUUCGGGAAACCGGAGCUAAUACCGGAUAAUAUAUUGAACCGCAUGGUUCAAUAGUGAAAGACGGUUUUGCUGUCACUUAUAGAUGGAUCCGCGCCGCAUUAGCUAGUUGGUAAGGUAACAGCUUACCAAGGCAACGAUGCGUAGCCGACCUGAGAGGGUGAUCGGCCACACUGGAACUGAGACACGGUCCAGACUCCUACGGGAGGCAGCAGUAGGGAAUCUUCCGCAAUGGGCGAAAGCCUGACGGAGCAACGCCGCGUGAGUGAUGAAGGUCUUCGGAUCGUAAAACUCUGUUAUUAGGGAAGAACAAAUGUGUAAGUAACUAUGCACGUCUUGACGGUACCUAAUCAGAAAGCCGCGGCUAACUACGUG
rnacentral:rRNA from 1 species